rnacentral:tRNA from 1 species
GUUAUUAUAGUGUAAAACUAACACGCUACACUUUCACUGUAGAAAUAAAGAACUUUCUUUUAAGAAAC